rnacentral:rRNA from 1 species
GGGUUUUUGAUGGAGGGUUUGAUCCUGGCUCAGGACGAACGCUGGCGGCGUGCUUAACACAUGCAAGUCGAACGGUAAGGCUCCAGCUUGCUGGGGUACACGAGUGGCGAACGGGUGAGUAACACGUGGGUGACCUGCCCUGCACUUCGGGAUAAGCCUGGGAAACUGGGUCUAAUACCGGAUAGGACCGCACCGUGAGGGUGUGGUGGAAAGUUUUUUCGGUGUGGGAUGGGCCCGCGGCCUAUCAGCUUGUUGGUGGGGUAAUGGCCUACCAAGGCGGCGACGGGUAGCCGGCCUGAGAGGGUGGACGGCCACAUUGGGACUGAGACACGGCCCAGACUCCUACGGGAGGCAGCAGUGGGGAAUAUUGCACAAUGGGCGGAAGCCUGAUGCAGCGACGCCGCGUGGGGGAUGACGGCCUUCGGGUUGUAAACUCCUUUCACCAUCGACGAAGGGUUUCUGACGGUAGAUGGAGAAGAAGCACCGGCUAACUACGUGCCAGCAGCCGCGGUAAUACGUAGGGUGCGAGCGUUGUCCGGAAUUACUGGGCGUAAAGAGCUCGUAGGUGGUUUGUCGCGUCGUCUGUGAAAUUCCGGGGCUUAACUCCGGGCGUGCAGGCGAUACGGGCAUAACUUGAGUACUGUAGGGGAGACUGGAAUUCCUGGUGUAGCGGUGAAAUGCGCAGAUAUCAGGAGGAACACCGGUGGCGAAGGCGGGUCUCUGGGCAGUAACUGACGCUGAGGAGCGAAAGCAUGGGGAGCGAACAGGAUUAGAUACCCUGGUAGUCCAUGCCGUAAACGGUGGGCGCUAGGUGUGGGUUUCCUUCCACGGGAUCCGUGCCGUAGCUAACGCAUUAAGCGCCCCGCCUGGGGAGUACGGCCGCAAGGCUAAAACUCAAAGGAAUUGACGGGGGCCCGCACAAGCGGCGGAGCAUGUGGAUUAAUUCGAUGCAACGCGAAGAACCUUACCUGGGCUUGACAUAUACAGGAUCGCGCCAGAGAUGGUGUUUCCCUUGUGGCUUGUAUACAGGUGGUGCAUGGUUGUCGUCAGCUCGUGUCGUGAGAUGUUGGGUUAAGUCCCGCAACGAGCGCAACCCUUGUC